rnacentral:rRNA from 1 species
AGCGAACGCUGGCGGCAGGCUUAACACAUGCAAGUCGAGCGGGCAUCUUCGGAUGUCAGCGGCAGACGGGUGCGUAACACGUGGGAACGUACCCUUCGGUUCGGAACAACUCUGGGAAACUGGAGCUAAUACCGGAUACGCCCUUAUGGGGAAAGGUUUACUGCCGAAGGAUCGGCCCGCGUCUGAUUAGCUAGUUGGUGGGGUAACGGCCUACCAAGGAGACGAUCAGUAGCUGGUCUGAGAGGAUGAUCAGCCACACUGGGACUGAGACACGGCCCAGACUCCUACGGGAGGCAGCAGUGGGGAAUAUUGGACAAUGGGCGCAAGCCUGAGACAGCCAUGCCGCGUGAGUGAAGAAGGCAUUAGGGUUGUAAAGCUCUUUUGUCCGGGACGAUAAUGACGGUACCGGAAGAAUAAGCCCCGGCUAACUUCGUG